rnacentral:rRNA from 1 species
UAUGGACAGAAGUUUCUUCGAGAGGAGGGAUGGACCGUAUGGUAUCGUGGAUCCUGGUAAAAGUAGCAGAAAAGAAUCGUGAGAAUCGAUUCCGCCGAAAGGGCAAGGGUUCCUUGGCAAUGUUCGUCAGCCGAGGGUUAGUCGAUCCUAAGGUCACCCCUAAAAGGAAGUGACCGAAUGGGAAACUGGUUAAUAUUCCAGUACCAUAGACGUUUUGCUGCAUUUGUUUGUCUCAGGAUAUGGGGAGUAAGGGUGCCAAUUUAUUGGCCUCCAUAAGUGGAUGGAAAGUUGUAAUGACACGAAGUUCGCGAAGGGUUGUCAGCUCCCGUACGGGAGUUUCCUAAAUUCCCGGGACCCAUGAAAGACUUAUGCAGGUCAGGUCUAUGCUCGUACCAAGAACCGACACAGGUGCCCCUGGAUGAGAAGUCCAAGGCGUUUGAGAAUAAUGGACGCGAGGGAACUCGGCCAAAUAGCUCCGUAUCUUCGGUAGAAGGAGUGCCUGUUCCGAGAGGGAACAGGUCGCAGUGGCAAGGGGACCCCGACUGUUUACCAAAAACACAGGCCGCUGCAAGUCCGAAAGGAUGUGUAUAGCGGUCGAAACCUGCCCAGUGUCGGUACCUGAAAGUCCUUUUCAAGGGAACGUAGGGCCGAUAAACGGCGGGGGUAACUAUGACCCUCUUAAGGUAGCGUAAUACCUAGCCGCUUAAUUGGCGGCUUGCAUGAAGGUUCAACGAGAGUCCCACUGUCCCCGCGUUCAGCCUCGUGAAAUUGAUGCACUGGUGCACAAUCCAGUCUGUCCCACAUGAAAGCGAAGUCCCCGUGGAGCUUUACUGCAGCCUGUAGCUGUAAUACGGUUUUCGAUGCGUAGUGUAGGAAGGAGCCGUCGAUGCCAGAAUUUUGGUUCUGGUGGAGGCAACAAUGAAACACUUCCCUUCGUUAACUGCGUUACUAACUUGAUGAAAGGACACCUAUUGGUGGGCAGUUUGGGUGGGGCGCCACGCCCCUGAGAAUCAAAAGGGGGCCCCCAAUGGUUGGCUCAGGAGGGUCAGAAAUCCUCCGUAGAGUGCAAGAGCAAAAGCCAGCUUGACUGUGUUGCCCAAUAAACAACGCAGAUGCGAAAGCAGGGUCUAGCGAACCACCCUGUCCUCUUUUGUGAGGGCGGGUGAUAAGAGAGAAGUUACCCCAGGGAUAACUGAGUUGUCCUCGGCAAGAGUUCACAUCGACCCGAGGGUUUGCUACUUCGAUGUCGUCUGUUCCUAUCCUGGUGCUGAACAAGGUGCCAAGGGUGGGGCUGUUCGCCCAUUAAAAGGAAUCCUGAGAUGGGUUCACUACGUCGCGAGACAGUAGGGUUGCUUCUCCGUGGGAGUGCACGAUGUCUGAGGGGAAGGAGCCUUUAGUACGAGAGGAACGGGGGUUCGUGGCUUCUGGUUUACCGGUUGUCUGGCAAGGCAAACGCCGGGUAGCCACGCCAUACGCGGAUAAAAGCUGAAAGCAUCUAAGCUUGAAGCCGCCCCUAAAAAUAGACAUCGUUUUCAGGUCUCUCCUAAAAGAGGAGAUUGAUAGAGCCGGGAUGUAAGUGCCAAGCUUCGGCGAGGCAUUCAGUCCACGGCCACUAAUAGACCGAAUGCACAAUC